AUGCCGCCACCACUCGUCGUCAAUGACGCGGUAGAUACAACGCCGCACCACCUGGCAACCUCCACACCAUCGCCACUGCUGGAGCUACUCGGAGCCCACCAUCCACAACAUCUCUCCCCCGAACAGCAGUUCCUCCCAAGGCGGCGCCUCCAUGGAGGAUACGACGCGCAGGACGCCGCCGCCGCCCAAUCCAGACUGAAUUUUGGACUUUCGUCCGGGAGGGGUUCGGGGGUGGAUAGGGGGGACCUCGGCUUCGCCUCCAGGAAGGGUAACGGCGUCAAGUGA
rnacentral:rRNA from 1 species